rnacentral:lncRNA from 1 species
CCUGGCUGUGGCUCCACCCUCGGAAGCUCCCGGAAGGAACGCAUUCUCCACAGCUCAGGAGGCCAGAGCCUGGAGCCAGUAGGACUGGGCAGAAGUCACCGUGGCCCUGGGGCUCUAGGGGGGAGCUGGUUUCUCGAGGCUGCCAGAAACCCUUGGCUUGGGGCUCCUUCCACUGUCCUAAAGCAUGUCACUCCAGGAUCUGCCCGGGUGUCACAUGGCCUUCCCUCUGUGAGAGUCUAGGUCCCUCUCAUAAGGACCCCAGCGAUUUCAAGGUCACAUCUAGGGCCCUCCCAGAUAAUGCACACAAGCUUCUUAACUCGAGAUCUUUCAAUUAAUGCCAUCUGCAAACUCCCCUUGACUCUGUAAGUGGCACCCUCAGUGCUGGGCUCUGUGCAUGUCUUGGGGGCCAUUAUCAAUCUCCUACAGAGAGUCACACUGAAGACUCCAAGGCAGCCUCCUUAGUAGUACAUUUGGUUUGGUUUGGUACCAGGAAUUGAGCUCAGGGGCACUUAACCACUGAGCCGCGCCCAGCCCUAUUUUAUAUCUUAUUUAGAGACAGGGUCUCACUGAGUUGCCUAAUGCCUCACUAUGUUGCCGAGGCUACCUUUGAACUGGAGAUCCUCCUGCCUCAGCUUCCUGAGCUGCUGGGAUUUCAGGCAUGUGCUACCACAUCCGGCUUCCCGAGUGGUACUUUAAGGAGCCUAGUAAGAAAGGGGCCACCAGACCUGGUCAGGAGGGCUGAGUGUCUUUAGAGUCUCCCUCCAACACAUCUGUGUCCCUGCAGCCUCUGGUUUGCUUUGGGGUGGUGUCCUCUCAGUCACAGGAUACCCUGGGUCGGCGACUGGACCUCAAUGCCAGCCCACACAGCAGUCAGAGGGACAGUUUAUCCUCUCUUCCCCUGGCACGGCCAGGGGUGGACAUGCCACGAGCUCUGUCCCCGGGAUGCUGUUCUCUGAGACUUGAGAGCUUCUGCUAUUCAGCUCAGCAAGGACCUCUGACCACAUUCCUCCUGCUUCCUAGUAUCUGCCCCUGCCAAAAUGCCCAUUCCCAAGCCGGAAGAACCAUGUCCCCAUGGUUCAGGGAACCGGCAACCCUCUUAGCACACAGGCCCCGUGAUGGAUUCGCAGGCCCACAGGCUCUGUGGACCUCAAGUCCCGAGACAGGACUGUCUGCUCUGUGGGGUGUGCCUGGGAGGUCCUGGGGUGAUGGCGGAUGGAGUGGCUCCGUGGAUUUCUGCCCUGGUUAUCUGUCUCGCUCAACAGCUCUUCUCUUCAGUAAGGUAUCAGUGUUACUGCCAGAGCCCUGUGUCGAUGACAUUCCCAUGGACACAGCAGCUUGGAGGACUCACAGGAUAGAGAAAGGGGCAUGAGGUUGUGACCCAGCAGCAGGCCACGGCCUCAGUGCACACCGGAGGGUCUUGAUUUUGGGGACCUAGACAAUGACCACAUGCUUGUUGAAUGAACAAACCAACGAGGGCCAGCUGGGGACUGCCGUGGCCAGGCACGUCUGCUGUCCCUCAGAGCAGAGCCUCUGGUAUCUGCAGAGCACCAAGUACCUCCCAGGCGCAUCUGCUUUGCGUUGCUGCGUUUUCUCCCACGGGGACCCCGGGGACUGGAAGCGCCAGGAAGACGGAUGCCCCCCAUUCGUCUUUCUCUGGAGGUAGGAGAUCUCUGCACUGUGAAGGGACCCAGGUGGUGUCAUGCUGAUGUACGCUGUUUGGGUUUUUGUGUCCUGGGUGCUGGGGGUUGACCCGGGGCUUGUAUAUGUUGAGCGUGUCCCGUGGCCUGAGCUGCAGCCCCCCACGUCCAGGCAUUCUGGAAUUAUGCA